rnacentral:lncRNA from 1 species
UUGCAUCUAGGGUAGCCCUUGAUACCUACAUAUGGACUGAAAUGUUGCAGUAGCUCCAUUUAACGUGAAGAAAUGUGGGUCAAUCAAGUUGAUGAAAACCUAGCCAGCACAGGGGAGCAAAGAGGUGGGGGACAGGGAGGAGGAGGGAAGAGAGCAAAGAGGAAGUGAGGAGGAAGGCUCCAGUGUGUGGCCCUAGACCCUAUCUCAAACCAAAGGUGUCUUCCUUGGAGAGCUGUUCACCUGAGAUCAGCUGAGGUAUCUUCUUUGAAAGAGAUUGAACUAGACUUCUAUUUCCAAAGCUUGUGUCUUCUAGAGAUCAAGAUACCGAAAAAUAGAACAACUCACAACAAACAAACAUCCCCAGAUCUAUACUGGCCAUACCUCCUGGCCCAGAACUUCAAAGGCUUCUGAAACUGGGACCGAGUUCUCCGUUGCCAUGUCCCUUAAGAUGGGGAGUCAGCCUAGGAAUGAACAGAGAAGUGGAACUCAGGAUACAAAGACAGUCACAACCGGAAGACAAGGUGCAAAACCUAGGCUCCUUUGAAUGCCCUCGGCUCUGCAGUGUCCUGGUCUUCUGGUUUCCAGACUCACAUCUUGCCUCAGGGGGAUUGACAGCUAUCCCACAUGUGGUGUAAAGCUCUCAAGGAUCUUUUAGGGAGAAGAAAACAUUGGUCUAAUUUGCUAAGUUCUCACUUUCUAAUGCAACACAUAGUAUUGAAGACAUUUUAUUAGAAGACCAUUCUCUACCUUGCCCCUUACUGCAUCCUAUUCCAAGUUUUAAAUUCUGAACGAUGCAAUUCUGACUGCCCUACAAGACACGGAAUCUACAGGGUUAAGAACAAAGCUGAAAGAAGAAACCAUGGAAAUAAAAAGCUAUGGUGAAGACCAGACACCAGCUUUAAAGCCUGCUG